GCGCCCGUAGCUCAGGGGAUAGAGCACCGCUCUCCUAAAGCGGGUGUCGGCAGUUCGAAUCUGCCCGGGCGCA
rnacentral:tRNA from 3 species